rnacentral:misc_RNA from 1 species
AACGCAAGUUGCGCCCGAAGCCAUCUGGUCGAGGGCACGUCUGCCUGGGUGUCACGCAUCGUUGCCCCCAACCCCAUCGCCUCCCCAAGAGACGAGGGCAGUUUGUGGGGCGGACAUUGGCCUCCCGUGCGCUUCCACUUGCGGUUGGCCUAAAAGCGAGUCCUAGGCGACGAGCGCCACGACAAUCGGUGGUUACCAAACCCUCGUGUCCCGUCGUGCGGGCCUCGUCGCUCACCUUGUGCUCUGUGACCCUGUAGUGUCGCGAUCGCGACUCUUCCAAGGCGACCCCAGGUCAGGCGGGACUACCCGCUGAAUUUAA